UACGAAGGUGGCAAGCGUUGUUCGGAUUUACUGGGCGUACAGGGAGCGUAGGCGGUUCGGUAAGCCCUCUGUGAAAUCUCCAGGCUUAACCUGGAACAGUCGGAGGGGACUGCUGGGCUAGAGGACGGGAGAGGAGCGCGGAAUUGACGGUGUAGCGGUGAAAUGCAUAGAUAUCGUCAAGAACACCGAUAGCGAAGGCAGCUUACCAAGCUGUAACUGACACUGAGGCACGAAAGUGUGGGGAUCAAACAGG
rnacentral:rRNA from 1 species